UACGUAGGCAGCAAGCGUUACUCGGAAUUACUGGGCGUAAAGCGUGCGUAGGUGGUGAGUUAAGUCUGUCGUGAAAGCCCCGGGCUCAACCUGGGAAUGGCGAUGGAUACUGGCUCGCUAGAGUGCGGUAGAGGAGAGUGGAAUUCCCGGUGUAGCAGUGAAAUGCGUAGAGAUCGGGAGGAACACCUGCGGUGUAGACGGCUUACGUGGACCAUCACUGACGCUGAGGCACGAAAGCGUGGGUAGCAAACAGG
rnacentral:rRNA from 1 species